UUUCCGUAGGUGAACCUGCGGAAGGAUCAUUACUGAGUGAGGGCCCCUCGGGGUCCAACCUCCCACCCGUGUUUAACGAACCUUGUUGCUUCGGCGGGCCCGCCUCACGGCCGCCGGGGGGCAUCUGCCCCCGGGCCCGCGCCCGCCGAAGCCACCUGUGAACGCUGUCUGAAGUAUGCAAUCUGAGACAAUUAUUAAAUUAAUUAAAACUUUCAACAACGGAUCUCUUGGUUCCG
rnacentral:misc_RNA from 1 species